rnacentral:rRNA from 1 species
GACGAACGCUGGCGGCGUGCCUAAUACAUGCAAGUAGAACGCUGAAGAGAGGAGCUUGCUCUUCUUGGAUGAGUUGCGAACGGGUGAGUAACGCGUGGGUAACCUGCCUGGUAGCGGGGGAUAACUAUUGGAAACGAUAGCUAAUACCGCAUAACAACAGUUGUUGCAUGACAGCUGUUUAAAAGAUGCAAUUGCAUCACUACCAGAUGGACCUGCGUUGUAUUAGCUAGUUGGUGAGGUAACGGCUCACCAAGGCGACGAUACAUAGCCGACCUGAGAGGGUGAUCGGCCACACUGGGACUGAGACACGGCCCAGACUCCUACGGGAGGCAGCAGUAGGGAAUCUUCGGCAAUGGGGGGAACCCUGACCGAGCAACGCCGCGUGAGUGAAGAAGGUUUUCGGAUCGUAAAGCUCUGUUGUAAGAGAAGAACGGGUGUGAGAGUGGAAAGUUCACACUGUGACGGUAUCUUACCAGAAAGGGACGGCUAACUACGUG